GUCGAGCAGAGAGAGCUGAUCAGUGACUGUGGACGCACCGGGACGCCCCAAAUGUCCCCCGUGGACUUCCGGCCGCGGCCGAAGCGCUCGGAUCCCGAACUCCAGAGACACUGAAGGAUACCCACCGUGGGUGUGAAUGGAGAGUCCGUGGUUCCCUGGCGGAGGCCGUCCCAGUUGAAGCCCUCAAACCACCUGAAGGACAGGGACAUGCUGCCGUGACUACGGAAAGCCCUCAGACCUCUCUGAAGGAUUGUCCCUGGAGCCAGCCACACAAACAGAAUUUAAAGAAGUUAACCGGGAAAAAUCCGCCCUCCGUUUUGCUUUACCUGGUAAGUGAAGGGGGCACUGACAACCUGCAGAGUCGCUUGAUGAGGUUAGCGGCACUCUUGGUGAUCUUUUUAGGAAACUCGAUCAUGUCGAUGCCUCUCAGGAUGAUGUUAUAGGUCUUCAUGGGGUCAGAGCCAGAAAAGGGAGGGCUGGAGACAGAGGGUGGAAACCAAGAGCUUUAACAGGUUUAAGUAUUCAACCAGGACCCGAACGGAGCUAGUUCAGUUGCUAACUUCAGACAUAAUGGAGGAUCAAGCCCGACUGACUAGGAAAUAAAUGAAUGACUGGAUGGAUAAAAUAGUUACUACAAAGUCAUCAAGGAUGAAAUAUUCAGUCACUGACGGCCAACGUGGCUGGGAGCGCAGAGGUAUUGUGUCACAACCGCAUGGGCAGGUUGGGUAACCUCACAGCGUCCGGAAGCGACCCUGAGUCAGCCUCCCGUUCGCAGCGCACACACACCUGG